rnacentral:rRNA from 1 species
UUGCCUACGGGGGGCAGCAGUGGGGAAUAUUGCACAAUGGGGGGAACCCUGAUGCAGCGACGCCGCGUGGGUGAAGGAGUAUUUCGGUAUGUAAAGCCCUAUCAGCAGGGAAGAACAAUGACGGUACCUGACUAAGAAGCACCGGCUAACUACGUGCCAGCAGCCGCGGUAAUACGUAGGUGGCGAGCGUUAUCCGGAAUGAUUGGGCGUAAAGGGUGCGCAGGCGGUCCUGCAAGUCUGGAGUGAAACGCAUGAGCUCAACUCAUGCAUGGCUUUGGAAACUGGAGGACUGGCGAGCAGGAGAG